CUACGGGCUGCACCAGUAGGGAAUUUUGCGCAAUGGGCGAAAGCCUGACGCAGCGACGCCGCGUGGAGGAUGACGGUUCUCGGAUCGUAAACUCCUGUUAGAUGGGAAGAAAUGUCUGUAUUUAAUAGAUGCAGAAGAUGACGGUACCAUCAGAGAAAGUCCCGGCUAACUUCGUGCCAGCAGCCGCGGUAAUACGAGGGGGACAAGCGUUAUUCGGAGUUACUGGGCGUAAAGAGCGUGUAGGCGGCCUCUUAAGUCAGCUGUUAAAUCCCACGGCCUAACCGUGGACCUGCGGUUGAUACUGGGAGGCUAGAGAUUGAGAGAGAGGGGUGGAAUUCUCGGAGUAGCGGUAGAAUGCGUAGAUCUCGAGAGGAACACCGAUGGCGAAGGCAGCCCCUUGGUUCAAUACUGACGCUAAAGCGCGAAAGCGUGGGGAGCAAACAGGAUUAGAUACCCCUGUAGUC
rnacentral:rRNA from 1 species